GCUCCCCCACCCCUACAUAAACAUCAGCGUUGGAUCAGGGAGGCCAUUGAGAUCCGCAAGCGGGGCCCGAGGACCAUCAACAGGGACGAGGGAGCCUACAUGCUCUC